rnacentral:rRNA from 1 species
AACGAACGCUGGCGGAAGGGAGAACACAUGCAAGUCGAACGAGACCUUCGGGUCUAGUGGCGCACGGGUGCGUAACGCGUGGGAACCUGCCCUUAGGCUCGGAAUAACUCCCCGAAAGGGGUGCUAAUACCGGAUAAUGUCUUCUGACCAAAGAUUUAUCGCCUUUGGAUGGGCCCGCGUUGGAUUAGCUAGUUGGUCGGGUAAAAGCCUACCAAGGCGACGAUCCAUAGCUGGUCUGAGAGGAUGAUCAGCCACACUGGGACUGAGACACGGCCCAGACUCCUACGGGAGGCAGCAGUGGCGAAUAUUGGACCAUGGGCGAAAGCCUGAUCCAGCAAUGCCGCGUGAGUGAUGAAGGCCUUAGGGUUGUAAAGCUCUUUUACCCGGGAUGAUCAUGACAGUACCGGGAGAAUAAGCUCCGGCUAACUCCGUG